AUAGGGCGUUGCACCAUUGACAAACAGGCUGAAGAACAAAACAGUAAGAGGUGAACAAAUAAACAGUGGAACGUAGUCUGCACAGUCUCUAUAAAUCCAUGUUCUGUCUUCACCUUGAAUACUGCAUACAGUUCUGCAGCUUCCUCCCCAUCUCGCUAAAAAUAGAACAGCAAGAAGAUUCAGAAAUGGUCAACAAGGACAAAGUCAUAGAAAUGGACUUUCAGAACAGUGAGUUAAAAUGGAGUCAGUGCCACAGAAGAACCCAAUCUGGACUUAAGCUGGGAUGCAGAACACCAAGGUGCAGUUUCCCAGCUCUGCUACAGCCAUCAUAUAACACCUUGAGCAAAUCACCCUGCCUCCGUUCCCAUCUCUAACAACAGGAGAAUAAUUUCUUUCACUAUUCUUUAGUAGUUCAUUAAUUCAGUGGGGCAGCAAAUAUGUCAUAUAGCUUAAUUGUCACAUGCUUAAUGCAGUAGGAUCCUAAUUUUGCAGGACUUCGCUUAGAUACCUACAGACCCUAGUACUUCUAUACUCAUCAUCAUUGCUACAGCUCUUCAUAAGAGCUAAAUGCAGAGUAUAUAUAAAUUUGACCAAGGUAGGUGGUCAAUGCUUUUUCAUUUCUCAGUAAAAAUAACUGCUCUUACUAAAUAAAAAGUGUUAAUGGAACCAACUUCUGUUACUACAAAAUACAAAAUACAGCUUUGCACCUGUUUAGUCAGCAGUAAAUGUACUGUUACACUGCUCUCAAAAUCACUACCUUCACCUGCUCACAGGGAAGUGGAUAAGUUGCACUUACAUUGACCAUAUUUUAGACCAUUCUAGCACUUUCCAUCAACAUUUUAGCAUUUUGGAUUAAUGUACUCUAUCAUCUUCCUGCAUGUACAGAAUCACGGACACUGAGAAAUGAGGCUUUUACAACUAACUUAACAAGUUUGCCCAUAUUGUUAUGCUGUGAGAAUGUUCCUCAGUACAACUGUGUCUCAAUUAUAUUAAUCUAUUCCUCAGAUUUAAAAAUAACUUAAUUAAAGCAACCAUUGAGCACAUGCAAACUUGUUUGAGAAAGUAUAUUUGAAAAGCAAAUGCGUCUCCCCACCCCUGCUCAGCUCCAGUUGA